AUUGAAUGCUGGCGGCAUGCCUUACACAUGCAAGUCGAACGAGUGGCGAACGGGUGAGUAACACAUCGGAACGUACCGGCUAGUGGGGGAUAACCCGUCGAAAGACGGGCUAAUACCGCAUACUAGCCGAGCGGCCGAUGUCCGAUUACUAGUUGGUGGGGUAAAGGCCUACCAGGGCGACGAUCGGUAGCGGGUCUGAGAGGACGAUCGGCCACACUGAGACUGAGACACGGCCCAGACUCCUACGGGAGGCAGGAGUGGGGAAUCUUGGACAAUGGGGGCAACCCUGAUCCAGACAUGCCGCGUGGGUGAAGAAGGCCUUCGGGUUGUAAAGCCCUUUCGGCAGGGAAGCGGUACCUGCAGAAGAAGCACCGGCUAACUACGUGCCAGCAGCCGCGGUAAUUC
rnacentral:rRNA from 1 species